AAAAAAAAGCACCGCAUUUCCUUUUUGACUUAAGAGGGAGAGAGAGAGAGAGAAGCGGAGGCUGGGGGCUGGCGGACGCAUCGAGCUAUGCCUGGUCCCGAUUGUGAACUUGGCAGCGGCUGCUUGGCGUGGAUAACCCCAGUGGCCACUAACCAGGAACACCUGCUGGCCCCGUUACCCGGAACGGGAGGAGAAGAUGGGCAUCUCCAGCGGAAUUCCACCGCGGAAUAUGGAAGUGUUUAAAGGAAGACCUUCCCCGCUCAGGGUAGCAGAGAUCUGAACCUUUAAAUUGCAGCCAUCCCCGGCCUGACGAUAAAUGAUUCACAGGCCUAGAUGAGCUGUUUGACACUGGAGCUGGAAUUUAUUUGAAUCCUGGACUAUGAUGCCAUGGAGGGAUGGAUCUCUGGAUCUGGAUCACACUCAGCUUUUCUUGAAGCCAUGGCAGGAGCUGUGCUGGAAAUGGUGCCGUGGGAGUCUGUAUCCCAGGUCAGGAGACCAGACAUCAAAUCCCUGGUGCAUCUUGGCAGCUGGGAACGCUCCAGCAAACCUGGAAUGCUCCAGCAAACCCUGCCAAAGCCGCUGCUGGGAGCACAUCACCAGCGGUGCAAAUGGUAGGUGGGAUCAGAGGAGAACCAGCCAGGGGUCUCCUCGCUGGCCAGAAGAGCCUUGUCUUUCCCCAGUCCCAGAGAAUCCAUAAAAACCACUCAACUUCACACGGCUGAUUUGCUCAGAGCUGAGGCCACGUGGAACACAGCUCAUCCAUUUUAGAUCCUUCUUCCAGUGGGAACUGGGCAGGGAGACAGAAAACUUUCAAACCCCAAGCUGUGAGGGAGCAAGAACACUCCCAAAAUGUCCCUUCUAAAAGGGAACCUCCCUUUUUGGGUUUCAAAUGCUGUCUUUGUUACCACCCUUGGUAACCUCGCUAGCAAAGAGCUGAAUGUUAUUAGAAAACAGCUGAGCAUGGGUGGGAAGACAAGAAAACAAAAGGAAAUGGAAGUCCUGGAAAUUGAUUUUCCAUUUGAAUCUGUUAUUUUUUCUUCUAAUUUUUAAUAAGACAUUUUAUGAAGUUUAUUGCACUGCUAUCUAUUUUCUUUUAGGGUGUGUUAUCUUUUGUGACUUAGUUUAGACUAAAAUAAACCCCAGUUGCUAAUUAAGGAUAGAAAUGGAAAUCCAAAGAUUUGCUUCUCAUCAAUGCCAAGCAGUAAAUCCUUUAAUGCUCUGGGAUUUUACUCUAUAGCUCUAAAUUUCCCAUUGGUAUUUAGUAAUCUGCUGAUUGCAUUUACUUUAAUUCUUUGGUCUUCAGAGUGUUCAUGUUGAGGCGCUCACUUACAGUAGCUCUGCGUGUUAAGGGCAAUGAGUUAAAAGCU